GCACCGGCAACGUUACUUCUCACGCGCUGGAUUACCGUGUAACGUCUCAGUGACCGCGGAGUAACGCUGACGUUACUUCAUUACAGCUGAACCUGGACGAGGUGGAAACCAGGAUGCCAGAUGUGAUGCUUCACAGAUUUUCAAGGUAUUCCCUUCUCUGGUGUCUCACCAAUGUCAGGUGAGCUCUGAAAACCCAAAUCCGCUGCAUUUCAACACCGUUUCAUAUCCCCUCACCUAUCGUCUGUUUGUGGGAGCUCUGAGUCGGGCCACUCCAUCAACACAGGAGCACGACUGCUGCCUCCAAGCAGCUCUGCUGUCCCUGGACCUUAACCCUGUUGGUCCAGAGCACUUGGGUCAGCAGUAUUCCUCUGGACCUGAAGGCAUUCACUUCACACCAUGAGGCCAGGAACAGCAGCAUAACCCUC
ensembl:lncRNA